UAGGGAAUCUUCGGCAAUGGACGAAAGUCUGACCGAGCAACGCCGCGUGAGUGAAGAAGGUUUUCGGAUCGUAAAACUCUGUUGUUAGAGAAGAACAAGGACGUUAGUAACUGAACGUCCCCUGACGGUAUCUAACCAGAAAGCCACGGCUAACUACGUGCCAGCAGCCGCGGUAAUACGUAGGUGGCAAGCGUUGUCCGGAUUUAUUGGGCGUAAAGCGAGCGCAGGCGGUUUCUUAAGUCUGAUGUGAAAGCCCCCGGCUCAACCGGGGAGGGUCAUUGGAAACUGGGAGACUUGAGUGCAGAAGAGGAGAGUGGAAUUCCAUGUGUAGCGGUGAAAUGCGUAGAUAUAUGGAGGAACACAAGUGGCGAAGGCGGCUCUCAGGUCUGUAACUGACGCUGAGGCUCGAAAGCGUGGGGAGCAAACAGG
rnacentral:rRNA from 1 species